rnacentral:rRNA from 1 species
AUACGGAGGAUGCGAGCGUUAUCCGGAUUUAUUGGGUUUAAAGGGUGCGUAGGCUGUGCUGCAAGUCAGUGGUGAAAGACCUGCGCUCAACGCAGGAAGUGCCAUUGAUACUGCAGUGCUGGAGUACCCCUGCCGUGGGAGGAAUGAGUGGUGUAGCGGUGAAAUGCAUAGAUAUCACUCAGAACACCGAUUGCGAAGGCAUCUCACGAAGGGUUGAUUGACGCUGAGGCACGAAAGCGUGGGGAUCAAACAGGAUUAGAUACCCUGGUAGUCCACGCAGUAAACGAUGAUGGCUAACCGCUGGGCUUAUCAGUUCAGUGGCCAAGCGAAAGCGAUAAGCCAUCCACCUGGGGAGUACGACCGCAAGGUUGAAACUCAAAGGAAUUGACGGGG